rnacentral:rRNA from 1 species
UGCAGUCGACGGUAACAGGACGCUAGGAUCCCUUCGGGGUGACUUUGUCGCUGACGAGUGGCGGACGGGUGAGUAAUACAUAGGAAUCCACCCAGUAGUGGGGGAUAACUUGGAGAAAUCCAUGCUAAUACCGCAUAUGCCCUACGGGGCAAAGCAGGGGACCCUCGGGCCUUGCGCUAUUGGAUGAGCCUAUGUCGGAUUAGCUUGUGGGGUGGGGUAACGGCCUACCAAGGCAACGAUCCGUAACUGGGUCUGAGAGGAUGAUCAGCCCCACUGGGACUGAAAAACGGCCCAGACUCCUACGGGGAGGGAACAGUGGGGGAUAUUGCACAAUGGGCGCAAGCCUGAUGCAACAAUGCCCCGUGUGUGAAAAAAGCCUGCGGGUUGUAAAGCACUUUUUUUGGGAAAGAAAAAAACGAAGCUAAUACCUUCGGUCUUGACGGGACCCCAAGAAUAAGCACCGGCUAACUCAGUGCCAGCAGCCGCGGUAAUACG